ensembl:snRNA U6 U6 spliceosomal RNA
GUGCUCGCUUCCGCAGCACAUAUACUAAAACUGGAAUGAUUCAGAGAAGGUAGCGUGGCCCCUGCGCAAGGAUGACAUGAAAAUUCGUGAAGUAUUCCAUAUUAUA